rnacentral:rRNA from 1 species
AACGAACGCUGGCGGCAGGCCUAACACAUGCAAGUCGAGCGAGGACUUCGGUCCUAGCGGCGGACGGGUGAGUAACGCGUGGGAACGUGCCCUUUGCUUUGGAAUAGCCCUGGGAAACUGGGAGUAAUACCGGAUGAGCCCUUUGGGGGAAAGAUUUAUCGGCGAAGGAUCGGCCCGCGUUGGAUUAGGUAGUUGGUGGGGUAAUGGCCUACCAAGCCGACGAUCCAUAGCUGGUUUGAGAGGAUGAUCAGCCACACUGGGACUGAGACACGGCCCAGACUCCUACGGGAGGCAGCAGUGGGGAAUCUUAGACAAUGGGGGAAACCCUGAUCUAGCCAUGCCGCGUGAGCGAUGAAGGCCUUAGGGUUGUAAAGCUCUUUCAGCUGGGAAGAUAAUGACGGUACCAGCAGAAGAAGCCCCGGCUAACUCCGUG